GACGAACGCUGGCGGCGUGCCUAAUACAUGCAAGUAGAACGCACAGUUUAUACCGUAGCUUGCUACACCAUAGACUGUGAGUUGCGAACGGGUGAGUAACGCGUAGGUAACCUGCCUGGUAGCGGGGGAUAACUAUUGGAAACGAUAGCUAAUACCGCAUAAUAUUAAUUAUUGCAUGAUAAUUAAUUGAAAGGUGCAAUUGCACCACUACCAGAUGGACCUGCGUUGUAUUAGCUAGUAGGUGAGGUAACGGCUCACCUAGGCGACGAUACAUAGCCGACCUGCGAGGGUGAUCGGCCAACCUGGGACUGAGACACGGCCCAGACUCCUACGGGAGGCAGCAGUAGGGAAUCUUCGGCAAUGGACGAAAGUCUGACCGAGCAACGCCGCGUGAGUGAAGAAGGUUUUCGGAUCGUAAAGCUCUGUUGUAAGAGAAGAACGGGUGUGAGAGUGGAAAGUUCACACUGUGACGGUAUCUUACCAGAAAGGGACGGCUAACUACGUG
rnacentral:rRNA from 1 species